UUGAUUUUCCCUUCACUUCAAAGAGGGAGCUAUCCGAUCAGCCAACAUCCGUGCAGCAGAAAAGAAGUCAAGCUGAGAUUCCAAUCCCAUUAACAUCUGCAGAUGCAUCAACAUCAAGCGCAGCACCAGGACCUAGUAUUUCCCAAUUGUUUUGAAAGCAAUACAAAUCCAGAGAAUACAAAAUUUGCCCACAAAGGACCUUCGCGCCACCUUCCUGUCUAAGUGACCACAGCACAACAAGCUCCCGGAUCUCGGAGUCAUGAUGGCCGACUUCGUGCAGUUCCUCUUACUGCGAAAUCUGAGCGACGUCAUCAUGUAUGCCCGCAAGGACUUCUCCCCCUUUGCCUCCCACCGACCCCUGGGGGCGGGCACCUUCAACACCUCCUCAUAUUGAUGACACACACUGUGGCUGCUUCUCAAUAGUCUUGUAGCUUCCUCUCACAGGCACUUUAGUGCAGACAAUACUAUUCUGGUUGUACAGUGGCCCUCUAGAUCUAAAGUACUGAUCAAAUAUUAAUACUUUUAUGGAUGAAAAUAAGACAUGUACUGUUUUAACUGUCUACUGUUAGUUUAAAUUAGAUGUAUUAAAACAAAUUCCAAUCAACUCUGUUAAUAUGGAAAUCACAAGAGUUACACUUGUGUCAGUUGAUGUGAAUAAAAUAAUAGCUCAUUUCAUGUCUUGUAUGUUUCCCGUGCUUAAUAUCUGUUAAUCACUCUAUCCUCGAGUGAGAAUUUCAGUAACUGCUACUUUGCAUUAGCUCUGAUGUGAUCAACCCCUACAUUUCUAAGAAUAAAGUUGUAAAUUAAAUUA